rnacentral:rRNA from 1 species
CUUGGUCAUUUAGAGGAAGUAAAAGUCGUAACAAGGUCUCCGUAGGUGAACCUGCGGAGGGAUCAUUACAAGUGACCCCGGUCUAACCACCGGGAUGUUCAUAACCCUUUGUUGUCCGACUCUGUUGCCUCCGGGGCGACCCUGCCUCCGGGCGGGGGCUCCGGGUGGACACUUCAAACUCUUGCGUAACUUUGCAGUCUGAGUAAACUUAAUUAAUAAAUUAAAACUUUUAACAACGGAUCUCUUGGUUCUGGCAUCGAUGAAGAACGCAGCGAAAUGCGAUAAGUAAUGUGAAUUGCAGAAUUCAGUGAAUCAUCGAAUCUUUGAACGCACAUUGCGCCCCCUGGUAUUCCGGGGGGCAUGCCUGUUCGAGCGUCAUUUCACCACUCAAGCCUCGCUUGGUAUUGGGCAACGCGGUCCGCCGCGUGCCUCAAAUCGACCGGCUGGGUCUUCUGUCCCCUAAGCGUUGUGGAAACUAUUCGCUAAAGGGUGUUCGGGAGGCUACGCCGUAAAACAACCCCAUUUCUAAGGUUGACCUCGGAUCAGGUAGGGAUACCCGCUGAACUUAAGCAUAUCAAUAAGCGGAGGA